rfam:Daphnia pulex DAPPTscaffold_1103_Cont11917, whole genome shotgun sequence.
GCCUCGAUAGCGGAGUGGGCAGCGCACGAGUCUCAUAAUCUCGAGGUCGUAAGUUCGGGGCA